GAUGAACGCUGGCGGCGUGCCUAACACAUGCAAGUCGAACGGAAAGGCCCUGCUUUUGCGCGGUUCUCGAGUGGCGAACGGGUGAGUAACACGUGAGUAACCUGCCCUUGACUUUGGGAUAACUUCAGGAAACUGGGGCUAUUACCGGAUAGGAGCUCCUGCUGCACGGUGGGGGUUGGAAAGUUUCGGCGGUUGGGGCUGGACUCGCGGCUUAUCCGCUUGUUGGUGGGGUAGUGGCGUACCAGGGCUUUGACGGGUAGGCUGCCUGAGAGGGUGAACAGGGACAUGGGGACUAAGGGACGGCCCAGACUCCUACGUGAGGCAACGGGGGGAAGUAUUGCACAGUAGGCCGGAGUGUGAUACAGCAGCGCCGCGUGCGUAAUGACGGCCUUCGGGGUAUGAACCGCUUUCGCCUGUGACGAAGCGUGAGUGACGGUAAUGGAUAAAGAAGCACCGGCUAACUACGUG
rnacentral:rRNA from 1 species